UCUCCCUUCCCAAAACCCCUUCUCCUCUCUGCUGCCCUCUUCUUCCCGGUCCCGUAGAGCUUCUCCUUCCUCUGAUUGUAUCUCUAUUAUUGUAUUUGGACCUCAACCUCUCAGUAUAACUUCGGUUGGAGUGAUUUGGUGUUGAUCAGUCGAGUGAUUCCUUUGCCAUUGGAGUGGGGUUCGUGACACAUCGCAACGCCUCCCGGUUCGGCCUUCUAUUCAUGGAGGAUGACGGCGACUCCACGGAGGAAAGCCCCAGGACGCAAGACAUUGAGGACGAGAACUCCACCAUGGGGAAAAGCAGCAGGAUGCAUGCCACGGUGGAAAGCCUCGCGAUGAAGGAGGAUGGAGGGUACGUGGACACCUUGAUGAGGGUGUCACUCAAGUUGGUCUGCGAGGAACACCCCUCUGAGAUUCGGCGGCAUGGCUUGGAGAUACUUCUAGUUACUAUCUGCUACAUUGCUAUUCAAUAUCACUUAUUGAGAUUUAGGUGGAAAGAAAUUAGCAUCUCAGAGUGCGGUAAUUGUGUGGAUAUUCUUAAGUUAGCAGAAAAGUUGCCUGAACCUUCUACCAAAUUGGCUUCGAAGAGAGCAGCUGCUACUUUAGUGGCAGAGAUAGCUUGGAGCCAUGGGGUUUCUUUGCUGCGUGAUUUAAUUCUGCGCUUGGUAUCUCUGUUUGAAGAAGGUGCAUGUGAGGAUGAGUUAGUUUGCUUCAUUCUAAGAUCAAUUUCAAAUGUUGGAAUUACCCGUAAUGCACACAUCGAAGCAGGUGAUCGAGGUGAAAUGCUUGUACAUGGUCUAGGUGAAUUUCUUCCACAAAUUUUGCCACUCCUUUGUUCUUUGCUUGAUAAACAUACUCGAGCUGCUUUUAGUGAACAGUCAAACCAAGACAUGGAGGUAGCUAAUCAACAUGAAUGUACCGUGAAAGCUGCCUUAGAUGCUGCUCAUGCUUAUACGGAGUGGGCACCUGUGACCGAUCUGGCAAAAUAUGGUUUAAUUAAGAGAUGUGGAUCACUACUCUGUAGCAAUAUUUUCCGCACCCACGCAUUGCAGUUCUUUAAAUCUAUAUGUCUGAGCAAAAGACCUGUUGGAAUUGCAGUUGCAGAAUAUGAUGUUGCAGUGAGCAAUGUGUUCCCUAUAUUGGCGAACAUUUCAGAUGAUUCUUUGAAGUUUAUUGAACCAGAGCUGCAUUGUUUGAAAGCUUCGUGCCCUUCUUUGGGAUAUCAUACAGUACAUGCCAAAACUGUGGAUAAACUCAUUGAACUGCUGGAAUCAGUUCCUGCAACAUGUCAGGAUCCUUCAAAAUCUCACAGUGGUAGACUGCUCGCAUGCUCAUCACAAGUUCACGUAUCUCAAGUUGUUGAUAAGAUUUCUUGUCCAUCAAUCAUGAAGGAUGAUAGUGGUGUCUCUGCUUGCAUUGCCGGCUAUUCGAAGGAGUUUAAUGAGUAUGUUGGUCCAAGAAAACCGGAUAUUAAUGAAGAAGCGGGUAGUCUCCUCGUUGAAGAGCAUAAAAUUCUCUCUGAAGCUUUCACUUUUGUAGUGUCCUGUCCACGAAUUCAAAACGACACAGAAUUGCUUUCUUGUAUACUUCUUCCUCUGUCAAAAAUCUGGAGUCAACCAGAGUGGGAGACAAACCUAUUGCAUUAUUUUUGUGAUUCUCAGUUCAGGACGUCUGUCCAUAAUGUUGCUGUAUAUUUUAAGGAAGAGCUCAAAAAGUGCAUGUCAGAAAAAUCUAAUGGAAUAGGCCAAAAGGGGAAGUCAAACUAUUCAAGUUUGAUAACUCUUCUGCCAUUGAUACUUCCCCAACUCUUAAAGCUGCUUCAAUAUGUACAUUCACUCUGGACGGAUGAAGUUGUUUCUAUCAUAUCAGAAGAACUUGAAGGAGCUAAAUUUAUUAUGUGCUCUGUGGAUUCUUCUGAUCUAGAAAACGAUAUAAGAGUGUGGCUACAAAAUAUCCGCAAAACUGGGUACAAGGUCAUAGGUAAGUGUUCAUAUCUUGAGGGGGCACUUCAUAAUUUGUUGGAUAGCACAUUUGUUUGUGGCGCCUUAAUGAAGGAUCUUGAAUCAAUGGAGUUUCGUCAUCUGACUUGGCUUAUCAAGUAUACCAUUGUUCCAUUGGUGAAAAAUUGUCCUUCUGAACUUUGGACAAAGUGGAUAGAUAUGCUUCUACAGCCGGUGUUUCACUACUUUGACUAUACACUGCAUCGCUCGUGGUGCUAUCUCUUGUACCAUGACAUGGUGCAGGUUCCUGAUAAUUUUGGUGAUACUUCUGUCUCAAAAGAAGAGGUUGAGAAAUUAGGAAAGGAUCUUCUUUUCAAGUUGACUCGUGAAGCAUCUGAUUUGCUUGCUGCAAUGGCUUUGCCAGAAUUAAAUGGCAGGACAGCACAUGAAUACCAACGUAUUAUCCGCACAGCAGCAACAUCUGUGGAUUUGGCUUUUUCAAGCUCCCUUGUUAGGUAUCUUCUAUACCAUGAUGGCCUUAAUCAUUCAAUAUUAAGGUUAACCACUUACAUUUUUGGCCAUUGGACGGAUGGUGUAGCAAGGAUCAGGGCUGUGCCAUUUUGUCGUAGUUUGAUCCAAUUUGCUAAUGUGAUGCACAAUGACGAAGUUAUAUCUGUUGUUAAAGAUGAUAUAAUUCGAAAUGUUAUCCAAUGCUUAGCCCUCGAGAAGAUUUCAGACAAUAACAGUGAAGUUCUUACUGAUCUUUGUCGAGAUGCAUACUGCUGUUUUCAAAAUCAGGGAUUAGUAGGGGAAGAAAUAUUUGACAAAUGGUUGUCAAUGCAAAAAACGGUGGCUCGGUAUAAAAAUGCAUCUAUUGAUGAAUUUGAAGAAAUUGUGUGGAUUUGGGAGAUUGAAGAAGAGUUCAUCGGUUAUCUUCCUACUUAUACUGCCAUGUUACACGAAGUGGAUGUAUUUGGUGAUAGCCUGAAGGAUGGCCAUCUUCUUCGGAAUUCUCCUUCUGAAUUAAUGAAUGAACUUGUAUCCAAGCAUGUCGUUGGUAAUUGUACAGAUUCUUAUCUGUGGACCGUGUCAUCUAUGCUGUCACGUAAAUUAUCUUCAGUGUAUUGGAAGAGAGAAAAUGAGCAAAUGUUCAAGUUUCUUCAUAAGCUCAUCAUGUUUAAACCUUAUAUUAAGGAUGCUCCACAGUAUUCUGGUUAUGAACCUUAUGAUGAGAGUGUGCAAGAACUUCUCGAGAACGAUUCAGAGGAGUGGCCUAUGCUUGCUGGAUAUAAUAGGAAGUCUGCACUUGGGUUAUUUUGUAGAAUAUUAGAAUUAUGGGAGCCUCAGUUCCAUCCUCUGAUACGUGAGGGUCACAAGGAUGUGCUAAUUGAAAUAGCUUCUCAAUUAACUUUUGGGGAAUAUAUUGAUUUCUUGCAGCCAUUCCAACCUGACUCAGCAGAUUUUCUGUUGCAUUUGCAACCUUAUGUGCAGAAUUAUAUUGAUGACAAAAACAAAAAUUCUGGGUAUGAUAAAGCAAAAGAACAAGCAAUAUUACAUCGGGAGUUUGAUGUGCAUUUGGCUUCAGGUGCAUUAGAUCCUUAUGUCCGUCAGAUUAGUUCUUCAAAGGGUGACUUUGCUAGGAACAUUCUUGAGGAUGAUAAUUUGUGUGAUCAGUUUUCAGAUCUGGAUCAUGAUCUCCUUAAAAUGUCACUUGAGCGAAGAGCUAAACUUUUGAAUGAGCAAGAUCGACUAUGCUUAUAUUUCAAAUGUAUGGAAAUUGUCGUUGCAAAUGAGCAGCUGAGAAGUGGACUGGAAAGUUUGAUGUUUGAGCUGGAGGCAGAAGGUUUUUUCUGUGUGGAUGAUGAUUCUAUUGAAUGGGGGAAGAAACGGUUUUCAGAACUCGUGGAUACAUUCGACAAAGAUGUUUUUGAUGGGUUUCACCUUCCAAAAUAUUAUGUUGUUCGUGGAAUUAUGGAUCUUCGGCAAAUGUUACUUAAGAAGGAUAGAACUCUGGAAGAGGCUUUUGAAGUGGUUGUUGGUGGAGCAUACCAUAAAUGGAUGGGAAAUCUUCAUCUGUUUUGGAUGGACACAAGAUAUUACGAGCAUGCCAACUAUGAUAUUAUUAAAGAUCCAAUAAAAAAGGUAUGGAAGAAAAUGGAGGAUUAGAAUUGACAGGAGCCGAUUGACCACAGUACAGGCGAUUCAGAUGCUGGUAUUUCUUUCCUUCCUGAGGAGGUAACCAAGCAAUCAUUGUGAAGACAUCAACUAAUGAAGACUACCUUAACACAAAUUUACAGAGUAGAAGGCUGAGGCUGCUAAGCCAACUGAAAUGUAGACUUGACUUGAAUUAGGCUGCAUGUAUACAUGUUCAUUAAUUUGAAACCAACGUAAAAUACGUGAAAGCUCCUUAUUUUGUCAUAUCCUUUGUCUAUGUGUAGCUUGUUAGUUCUAUAUAUGCCGAAAUUGAAGAAGAAAUGGUCUUAAUUUUGGAAUA